rnacentral:rRNA from 1 species
ACCAUAUGGUAAAUCGGGAAAGUUUUUUCGCUAAGAGAUCGGUCUAUAUCGCAUCAGUUAGUUGGUGGGGUAAGAGCUUACCAAGACAAUGACGCGUAGCGGGUUUGAGAGGAUGAUCCGCCACACUGGUACUGAGACACGGACCAGACUCCUACGGGAGGCAGCAGUGAGGAAUAUUGCACAAUGGGGGAAACCCUGAUGCAGCAACGCCGCGUGGAGGAUGACGCAUUUCGGUGUGUAAACUCCUUUUAUAUGUCAAGAAAAUGACGGUAGCAUAUGAAUAAGCACCGGCUAACUCCGUGCCAGCAGCCGCGGUAAUACGGAGGGUGCAAGCGUUAUUCGGAAUCACUGGGCGUAAAGGACGCGUAGGCGGGUUGCCAAGUCAGGUGUGAAAUCCUACAGCUUAACUGUAGAACUGCACUUGAAACUGGUUACCUAGAGUAUGGAAGGGGGAGAUGGAAUUAGUGGUGUAGGGGUAAAAUCCGUAGAUAUCACUAGGAAUACCGAAAGCGAAGGCGAUCUCCUGGAACAUAACUGACGCUAAGGCGUGAAAGCGUGGGGAGCAAACAGGAUUAGAUACCCUGGUAGUCCACGCCCUAAACGAUGAACACUAGUCGUCGGGGUACUAGUUACUUCGGUGAUGCACUUAACAGAUUAAGUGUUCCGCCUGGGGAGUACGGUCGCAAGAUUAAAACUCAAAGGAAUAGACGGGGACCCGCACAAGUGGUGGAGCAUGUGGUUUAAUUCGAAAAUACGCGAAGAACCUUACCUAGCCUUGACAUUGAUAGAAUACCCUAGAGAUAGAGUAGUGCCCUUCGGGGAGCUUGAAAACAGGUGCUGCACGGCUGUCGUCAGCUCGUGUCGUGAGAUGUUGGGUUAAGUCCCGCAACGAGCGCAACCCUCGUCCUUAGUUGCCAGCAGUUCGGCUGGGCACUCUAAGGAGACUGCCUUCGCAAGGAGGAGGAAGGUGAGGACGACGUCAAGUCAUCAUGGCCCUUAUGGCUAGGGCUACACACGUGCUACAAUGGGGCGUACAGAGAUUUGCGAUACCGCGAGGUGGAGCCAAUCUCAUAAAGCGUCUCUCAGUUCGGAUUGUAGUCUCAACUCGACUACAUGAAGCUGGAAUCACUAGUAAUCGUAGAUCAGCAAUGCUACGGUGAAUACGUUCCCGGGUCUUGUACUCACCGCCCGUCACACCAUGGGAG